rnacentral:hammerhead_ribozyme from 1 species
AUCCAACUGACGAGUUCCGAAUAGGACGAAACACACGUCUCACUGGAU